CACCUAAUAGCAACCUACAUGUGAUUCUACAGUGGGCCGGAAUUUAAGUACAACUUCUGAAUACAGCAGAUUGAACAAUCUAGAAAAGAAUUCACAUGGCCUGUCAUCUGAUCAUGUUUACAGAAGGAUACAAGUCUGCUUUCAUCUGAUCAUGUUUUAAGGACGAGUAAUGUUUCAACAACACAUUCACACAUCAUACGGAGUACGGCAUCUCCAUCAAGGGGAAUGAAAUGGACACGUUUUUUUUGGCAUGGCAUAUCCCCUGAAGAACAUGUGCAGAAGCCACUAAACCAGCAUUGCAGAUGGUUUGGAGAUUUCACAUUUUCCUUAAAAGAUGCUUCCUCCGUUCGUUUUUACUCGCAAUGUUUUGACAAUUCACACUAUUCACAUACCAUACGUUAACUAUUUUUAAUGAUUUAUAUAUAUAAGGAAAAAUAUAGUCAUGUUUGGUCUUGUUAGAUUCAUCUUAAUGUAUACUUAAAUACCAA